ensembl:lncRNA
UGAAAAUAAUUGAUCCUUUUAUGAAGAAAUAAACUUUUGGUGUGAGAGGUGGCAAUCACAAAAGGUGUGAAUCUUUUGUAGAGAUUUGAAAGAACAGAAGUUAACAAUGCAGGCUGGACUUCUCUGCCCUUGCUGUGAUAUUUGAGAGGGAAUAUGUUAGCAGUGCCAUGAAGGAAUAUGGCAUUUCCAGUUUAGAUUGUUGUGCAUGAAUUACGUGCAAAAGGGCUGAGAACUCUGACAUCUUAUAUUGAUCUGAGAGAAUAAAUCUUAAAAUUUAUCUCUCCCAUGGACAGCUAAAUACUGUUUAGCUAACUUAUUAACCAAUUGGACUCCAUAGAUAUUUUCCUUUGAUCCAAUAACUUGACUUUCUGAUGAUAGGUGCUUUGGGCUAUGCUGUGAUUUAAGGUGUAAGACUCUCCUCCCUAUUGAGGAGGCUGAAAAAUUUCUCCCUCCAGCCUGCGAACCACAGAGGGACCUCAGAUUCUUAAUGCAUUCCCCAUUGAUAGCCACCAUAGAAGGCAGCUGGAACAGAAGAAUUUUUGCUGUGAUGUCCUCCAGUUGUCCUCUGCUGAAAUCUGAGCUAUCAUGCUGAGGUGCAGAAGACAAAAGAUCGAAAGGCCAUGUGUACAUAAUCAUAUUUGACUGGAGUAUCAAGUUGUCCUGCCUGACCUUAAUCUCUGUGAAUGUAGGAAAGAGAACUCUCACUUUCUUUUAUACUGCUUGCAGAGAAGUAUGUGUGUGCAUCUUUACCUUCAAGAAAGGAAAAAAAAAAACAACAUUGAUACAUUAUUCAUUAUUCAUGCCAGAGAAAGAGAGAGGCAGUGAUGGAGAAAAGAGAAGACAAGGCUUCUCCUUCAAGAGGAUGUUCCAGAUGCAGUACCCUGCAGGUGGUGAUUUGCUGAGACUCUGAAUAUAACUUCUCACACCAAAGAGUGGCAGCAUUUCCUUGUUAUCUAUUGUUUCUGGAGAUAGACCAACAAGGUGACACUCAAGCAGGAAUGGAGCACUGUCUCGAUACUGCGACGGUAACAAUAAGGAAACUGAGAAAUGAACGUGAAGAACUCAGGAUUCUCAGUAAAAACAGGAGGCAUAGGCACACCAACACAGCACAGGGAAUUUGAAUAGAGAAUACAUUUUAAGAGGGUUUUCUAUUAUUGUCAACUAAAUUUAGGAUGUUGAUCUGCUUUGCUCACAAAUAGUUAAUGAAACAGGGGCAUGCAACUUUACUUUUUACAAGAAAUUAAGAAGUAUAAGGGUUACAUAACGGAGGAAGGAAAUGAACAUCUGUGGCUUCAUGGUGCUUUUUACACAUAAGAAAAUUAUUUGGGGGAUUUGUUGCUUACAGACAUCUGCUUAGCAGUGAUGCCAGAGCCAGCCAGCCUCAUUAGCUUUGACAGAUGACCAAUACCACCUAAUAGCCUUGAUUCUGACAGACAGAUCAUUUGCUUCAGCCAUAUAAAAUCUAUCUAAAUAAUUGAUAAAAACAGACAUAUGUACAAAAUAAAAAAUUGAAACAGGCUUUUGAAUGCUGAAACUUAAACCCAUUUAGGUGUUGAAUUUGGCAUGGAACAAUGGUCACAAUUUAGACUUGCAGGAAAUAAGACCCAUGUGGCUUACCUUCCUGCUUUUGGGGCAUAAUCAGAUAAUCUUUUGCCUAUAUAGUUGGAAUGACCAAAGCAAUGACCACACAGGUGCUUGUUACUGCCUCAGUGCUGAAAAAGCAAGGAACUUCAAUAUGUAGUCAUCUUUUUUUAUAACCUGUUUGGAGUUGCCUAAUUUGUUCUGUCAUUAAGUUUUUAGUUUCAGUCUUGUAAAUGAAGUAGAUAUAUCAAGCAGUAACUAUGUUUAAUUUCUGCUAUCCACCCAUGAAUAAUAAGCUAUUCCCCAACAAUGAAAAUAUAAUGGAAGAACUAUGAAUUACAACUGAUUGUGGUUAAACUGAUUUUUAUUUCUCAGAAAUACCUUUUGAAAACACUUCAGAACUUGCACCCAUGAUUUAUUCAGUUGUGAUUCUGUUUUGCUGAUGCAUUUGCAUAUUUUCCUUCACGUUUAAUGAUUUAGUAUCAUGUUUUGUUGUUUUUUUUUUUUUCCAGUUUAAAUGAAUAACUGAAACUUGUUCAGUAUUUACAUUUCACUGCUGUAUACCUCAAAUCAUUUUACUGGUAUUCAAUCUAAUGAUGUAAUGUUAUGAGUUCUCACUUUCAUGAAUAUUAAUAGAAAUGGAAAAUGCUUCAAAUGAUCUACAAGUUUUCAAAAAUUAAAUAUUUGGAGAAAAACUCAUAAUGAAAGCAGUAUUUGCCUUGAAAUACCUACUCUUAGGAAGAAAUUGAUAAUAAUGUCAAAAAUAGACAUCAAGUGUGAGACUACAAUUUGAAUUAUACUCAUCAAUUAAAGUCCACGUCAGGUUCUAAAAGCUAAUUUUUAAUAUAGUUUCUUUAUAUUCAUUUUGUGAUUUUUUUUUCCCCUCUGUCAAAGGGUAACCUUGCAAGCCACAACCUCAGUGCUGCAAAUCAGCAUGUAUGGGUUCACUGACAUCUGUAAAUGUAACAGUUUUCAUUAGCAAAUGACUAAGCCCAGUUCUCCAGAGGAUGCUGUGGUGUACCAACAGCCCUGAGAAUAUAUCUUCUUCCACAAACUCAAGAAAUCUAUGACACAUGCAAUACUAAAGAAAUCUGACAGUCCUGUUGUAAUCGUAGGCACUGGAUGUUCCUGUCAAGCUGAGGAACUCCACCCAGCAGUGCUGAAUAGUGAGAAAGAGCAGCACUUAUCCACCUCCCAGGUUUUGCUUGGUAGGUGGCCUCAGCUGUGGUCAUCUGGAAGCCAUUUCAUCAGAAAAGUGCUUGCUACAAACCAGGCAUUAU